rfam:Arthrobacter chlorophenolicus A6, complete genome.
GCCUCAGUAGCUCAGGGGAUAGAGCAGCGGCCUUCUAAUCCGCCGGUCGGGGGUUCGAUUCCCUCCUGGGGCA